GGUUAAGCGACUAAGCGUACACGGUGGAUGCCCUGGCAGUCAGAGGCGAUGAAGGACGUGCUAAUCUGCGAUAAGCGUCGGUAAGGUGAUAUGAACCGUUAUAACCGGCGAUUUCCGAAUGGGGAAACCCAGUGUGAUUCGUCACACUAUCAUUAACUGAAUCCAUAGGUUAAUGAGGCGAACCGGGGGAACUGAAACAUCUAAGUACCCCGAGGAAAAGAAAUCAACCGAGAUUCCCCCAGUAGCGGCGAGCGAACGGGGAGCAGCCCAGAGCCUGAAUCAGUGUGUGUGUUAGUGGAAGCGUCUGGAAAGGCGCGCGAUACAGGGUGACAGCCCCGUACACAAAAAUGCACAUGCUGUGAGCUCGAUGAGUAGGGCGGGACACGUGGUAUCCUGUCUGAAUAUGGGGGGACCAUCCUCCAAGGCUAAAUACUCCUGACUGACCGAUAGUGAACCAGUACCGUGAGGGAAAGGCGAAAAGAACCCCGGCGAGGGGAGUGAAAAAGAACCUGAAACCGUGUACGUACAAGCAGUGGGAGCCUCUUAAUGGGGUGACUGCGUACCUUUUGUAUAAUGGGUCAGCGACUUAUAUUCUGUAGCAAGGUUAACCGAAUAGGGGAGCCGAAGGGAAACCGAGUCUUAACUGGGCGUUAAGUUGCAGGGUAUAGACCCGAAACCCGGUGAUCUAGCCAUGGGCAGGUUGAAGGUUGGGUAACACUAACUGGAGGACCGAACCGACUAAUGUUGAAAAAUUAGCGGAUGACUUGUGGCUGGGGGUGAAAGGCCAAUCAAACCGGGAGAUAGCUGGUUCUCCCCGAAAGCUAUUUAGGUAGCGCCUCGUGAAUUCAUCUCCGGGGGUAGAGCACUGUUUCGGCAAGGGGGUCAUCCCGACUUACCAACCCGAUGCAAACUGCGAAUACCGGAGAAUGUUAUCACGGGAGACACACGGCGGGUGCUAACGUCCGUCGUGAAGAGGGAAACAACCCAGACCGCCAGCUAAGGUCCCAAAGUCAUGGUUAAGUGGGAAACGAUGUGGGAAGGCCCAGACAGCCAGGAUGUUGGCUUAGAAGCAGCCAUCAUUUAAAGAAAGCGUAAUAGCUCACUGGUCGAGUCGGCCUGCGCGGAAGAUGUAACGGGGCUAAACCAUGCACCGAAGCUGCGGCAGCGACACUAUGUGUUGUUGGGUAGGGGAGCGUUCUGUAAGCCUGCGAAGGUGUACUGUGAGGUAUGCUGGAGGUAUCAGAAGUGCGAAUGCUGACAUAAGUAACGAUAAAGCGGGUGAAAAGCCCGCUCGCCGGAAGACCAAGGGUUCCUGUCCAACGUUAAUCGGGGCAGGGUGAGUCGACCCCUAAGGCGAGGCCGAAAGGCGUAGUCGAUGGGAAACAGGUUAAUAUUCCUGUACUUGGUGUUACUGCGAAGGGGGGACGGAGAAGGCUAUGUUGGCCGGGCGACGGUUGUCCCGGUUUAAGCGUGUAGGCUGGUUUUCCAGGCAAAUCCGGAAAAUCAAGGCUGAGGCGUGAUGACGAGGCACUACGGUGCUGAAGCAACAAAUGCCCUGCUUCCAGGAAAAGCCUCUAAGCAUCAGGUAACAUCAAAUCGUACCCCAAACCGACACAGGUGGUCAGGUAGAGAAUACCAAGGCGCUUGAGAGAACUCGGGUGAAGGAACUAGGCAAAAUGGUGCCGUAACUUCGGGAGAAGGCACGCUGAUA
rnacentral:rRNA from 1 species